GCGCAGCAGGCGAGAAUUUUUCUCAAUGGGGGGAAACCCUGAAGGAGCGACGCCGCGUGGAGGAUGAAGGUCUUCGGAUUGUAAACUCCUGUCAUUUGGGAACAAGUUGCAGCGAUUAACUGUCGCUGCAUUGAUAGUACCAGAAGAAGAAGAGACGGCUAACUCUGUGCCAGCAGCCGCGGUAAUACAGAGGUCUCAAGCGUUGUUCGGAUUCAUUGGGCGUAAAGGGUGCGUAGGUGGCGGGGUUAGUCAGGUGUGAAAUCUCGGGGCUCAACCCCGAAACUGCACUUGAUACUGCCUUGCUAGAGUACUGGAGAGGAGAUUGGAAUUUACGGUGUAGCAGUGAAAUGCGUAGAUAUCGUAAGGAAGACCAGUGGCGAAGGCGAAUCUCUGGACAGUUACUGACACUGAGGCACGAAGGCCAGGGGAGCAAACGGGAUUAGAUACCCCGGU
rnacentral:rRNA from 1 species